rnacentral:rRNA from 1 species
GAUGAACGCUGGCGGCGUGCCUAAUACAUGCAAGUCGAGCGAACAGACGAGGAGCUUGCUCCUCUGACGUUAGCGGCGGACGGGUGAGUAACACGUGGAUAACCUACCUAUAAGACUGGGAUAACUUCGGGAAACCGGAGCUAAUACCGGAUAAUAUAUUGAACCGCAUGGUUCAAUAGUGAAAGACGGUUUUGCUGUCACUUAUAGAUGGAUCCGCGCCGCAUUAGCUAGUUGGUAAGGUAACGGCUUACCAAGGCAACGAUGCGUAGCCGACCUGAGAGGGUGAUCGGCCACACGGGAACUGAGACACGGUCCAGACUCCUACGGGAGGCAGCAGUAGGGAAUCUUCCGCAAUGGGGGAAAGCCUGACGGAGCAACGCCGCGUGAGUGAUGAAGGUCUUCGGAUCGUAAAACUCUGUUAUUAGGGAAGAACAAAUGUGUAAGUAACUAUGCACGUCUUGACGGUACCUAAUCAGAAAGCCACGGCUAACUACGUG